rnacentral:rRNA from 1 species
UGGGGAAUAUUGCACAAUGGAGGGAACUCUGAUGCAGCGACGCCGCGUGAACGAAGAAGGCUUUCGAGUCGUAAAGUUCUUUUAUAUGGGAAGAUAAUGACGGUACCAUAAGAAAAAGCCCCGGCUAACUACGUGCCAGCAGCCGCGGUAAUACGUAGGGGGCUAGCGUUGUCCGGAAUCACUGGGCGUAAAGGGUUCGCAGGCGGAAAUGCAAGUCAGGUGUAAAAGGCAGUAGCUUAACUACUGUAAGCAUUUGAAACUGGAUAUCUUGAGAAGAGUAGAGGUAAGUGGAAUUUUUAGUGUAGCGGUGAAAUGCGUAGAUAUUAAAAAGAAUACCGGUGGCGAAGGCGACUUACUGGGCUCAUUCUGACGCUGAGGAACGAAAGCGUGGGUAGCAAACAGG